UCGCGGCCUAUCAGCUUGUUGGUGGGGUAAUGGCCCACCAAGGCGACGACGGGUAGCCGGCCUGAGAGGGCGACCGGCCACACUGGGACUGAGACACGGCCCAGACUCCUACGGGAGGCAGCAGUGGGGAAUAUUGCGCAAUGGGCGGAAGCCUGACGCAG
rnacentral:rRNA from 1 species